CACUUGAUACACAAGAUAUCCCCGAUAACAAAUCUCUUCCCAAGGACAAAAUUACGUACCCUUCGCACACCGCUCUUUUCGCACACGAACACAUCCUAGCAAAAGGCUCCCAACCAGAACAUCAUCCGCAAAUGCUUCUCCUACCAUACUCCAGACGACUUCUUUUCGACCCUGACAUCUUCUCAUCCGAAAACCAAAAAGGUAGUGGGUGGUACUGCUUCGGAGCGGUACCACCCACUACCAUUUUACUAUAAAAAAUGGAACGGGCACGGACCGUCUCUACAGCAAACCACGGGAUCACGUUGAGCUAUGGCGGGGUAGCUCAGCAGCAGCAGCAGCAGCAGCAGCCACGUUAACCAUUAACGUUUUUCGACUCCCGUUACACAGUACUUGCAGCAGCAACCACCUUGGCAACUCCCCCCUCCCUUUAAACUACUUACAAUCCACUCGUAUCGUCAAUCCUACACCAUAACGUAAUUACCAAAACUUCACUUAUCACGGUCUGGUGGAUCUUUCCUAAAAUAUCCCUCGUAUCCCUUAAGACUCUGAAGUCUGAGCUUCACCGUCACACCUUCCUGUAACGACUAUACCCCCUAUCCCCACCUUAUUCCAAACAUCCCUUCACAUUCUGACAUUACGUAAUAACUAACUAACUCUGUAACAAACUCAACCGUCUCACUGCUAUUCUCUUACGAAAGCCUCGGCGAUACCCUUUUUUCUUUUUUCACUUUUUCUUAACUACCAUAUCACCUUUCCAACAACUCGCCAACGGCAAAAGCCAGCAACACAAUAACUCCCAAUCCACUAUAUGCGCCAGGCAUACAGACUAUCUCCCCUCAACCCAACACAAAAAAACCCAACGCCUACAAAAAUAUUCCUUUCAACAAAAGUAUACUACGCCCAAACCGACACUUCGCACCUCCCGCCGGCGAUACAACUCACUCCAGGGAACCACACCCUCUCGCAACGAACACUCGAUUUAAAGAAGCGCGUUUAAUUCUGUUUAAUACAUAUACUGAUAUCUCGUUCACCAUUUAUUCCCAAACUCGCUCAAUCGCGCCUAUAACACCGAACGCCGUCAUACCUAUAGCCACACCUAUAGCCCACACCUUUCACAUCAAAUACCACCACUCUUCAGUAUCCUCAUCUACAACAACUUAUCUUUAUUCCCUAUAAUCCACAAAGACCUACAAUCUUCGCGCGGUGCUAUCUUGCACAACGCCACCGUUCGAACCUCAUCAUCGCCCACCAACAGUAAGUCCUCCCCAGCCGUCCGCCUUUCUUUUUCCUCGCAAAUAAUCCAUCGCAACACAGCUAGUUUUCAAUUCAAACCUCCGUGAUUGCUCGUCGAGUACCCAUAUCUUACAUACCCGCCAUGCCAACUCGUAACUGCUCAUAAACCUCCAAACCAGGCUCCUACACCCACUGCAAUUGACUUUACAACUCACUAUCAUUACGUUUUCCAUUCAGGCUCGUCCUCGCUCACCACUUGACAACCACCAUCGAUUGGACUAAAACCGCUCUGCGAACACCAACUACCACCACCAAACUUCUUCACCACUGGUACAGUUCGCCCACUACGGUCAGUUUACGUUUUCUACAUCUCAGGGGGCUCUUAGCAUAGCAAAGCACCUAAACUUAGCGCAAGAGUCACCUGAUGAGGCCCUGGCAAGGCCGAAACGCGUCGUGACGUGCCUUGCUAAAUUUAGCUUCAGCGACUUUAUUUAGGUCAGCUUGCACUAGCUUAGCAGCCCAUCUAGUUCUCUUCCAAAUACACCCAGUUUUUCUUAUUUCUUUUUUCCACGCACCACACCUAUAAAACUCUCAGCUCGGACCAAACCACUCCCAGCACUUAUAUCUCCUUAACACUCCUUCACCUCAGCCAAAACCCCACCUCUAGAUUUUUACAUCUCUCCUAUACACAAAAACUAUUUUCCAGCCCUCCACACACAACAUCCUUCGAUAAAUUUAUACUCGUCGCUUUUUAUCCCCUCGGUCUAAACCUUCCAAACCUCUCUCACAAAACAUACCUUUUUUCUCAACCCUAGCUAAUCGCCCCUAAAACAAACUCUAUAACACAUACCUCUCCUUCCAGCUUUAGAUUUUCUUUUUUAAAAAAAUUUCCACUAAUCUGACCUUCUAGACUCAUUACUUUAACUUUAACCUUUAACUUUUACUUUUUACCUUUACCUUUAAUCUAUAUCUCCGAUUUUUCUUAAAAGUUUUUCCUGAUCUAAAAAAGUUUUUUAUGAAUUCCUAAAACAUUUUUUAAGAUUUCCAGAACUUAACAAGUAAUUUAGUUUUUUAAAGUUAAAAGUUUCUCUUUUUUACAAAAAAUUAUUAAAGAUUUUUGCACUAACGAAGGGUUGACCUAAGAACCAUCUACCAGCAGCAGCAGCAGCAGCAGCAGCAGCAGCAGCAGCAGCAGCAGCAGCAGCAGCAGCAGCAGCAGCAGCAGCUUCACCUCACAUGCAAUGCUCUCUGUCUGCAACUCUGCGUGGAAUUUCCCACCCAGCAUUGCUCCAAUAUGUGUGUGUAUGUGUAUGUGUGAGGGGGAGGGGGAGGAGGAGGAGGGGAGCUAUCCCGAUGCUCUCUCUCUCCCAAGCUCCCGGGUCCUGUCCGCAGUCUGGCCAUCUGCCACGUCACACACCCCUGUCGCUCUCCCUCAAAUCCCCCGGGACUCCCCCUUCCCCCCAAAAAACACCCCCACCGCCACCCACCAUCAUGUCCCAGGCGGCUGCCAACCACUCCCUCAGCAAGAUCACGUCGU
rnacentral:lncRNA from 1 species